ACAAGCUUCUUCACCCUGCCCCCACUGGGUGGGGGGUGGGGGGCAGAGAAGAGCAGGCCGGGGCAGGCAGGACUUUUAAUGGCACGCUGCUGCCUGGGCGGCUGGGACCCUGGCAGGCAGCAGCGUGCCAUCUUUGGUAUGCAUGCCAUUGGUUGCCGACCCCUGAUAUAGGGGAAGCACUUAGAGUGUAGUGGGGUAGUAUCUGUCCCCUCUGAGUGUGUAUCCCAUGGGUAGCUCGAGAAGAGUGGAAGGAUUUAGUCUCUUGCAGACUGGUGGACCUGUGUUAUUGUUGAACACUCUUCUCUCGAAUUAGCUUCUACGGUCAGUCUGGGUCUUUGGCUGAAGAGUGAGCAUGGGCUGAAUGGAGAUCAUGAGCAAGGGAACUCUGGCUUCUAGACCCUUCUGCCGAGCCAGGGGAGGCCCUGGACCAGGAGAAACCUGACCUGGAGGAAGGACUGGGGCUACCAGGACUGCCAGCUGCCGAGUACUCGGAGGAACUAGAGGAGCCAGGCAAUAACCUGGACCAGCGUGAGCCUGACGCAGAGGAGGAGCUGGAGCUGCCAGCAGCUGAAUACCCUGACGAGCUGGAGGGACCAGAGGGACCCGCUUGAGAGACCAGGUGACCAUGAAUGAUAUCAUUUUCCUGAGGCUAACACAGAAAGAUAAAGACCGAAUGUUGCUUGAAUGCGACCAAAACCCAGGACCUUUCGCUGCCAUGCUUUGUGCUGCAAUGAUUCCAGACUACUUGCUACUGGCUUGGCAUGGUAAAGUGUCCUACCGUGGAGGAUGAAAUAAGGCAGCCCUCCCCAGAAACCUUCUGCAAAGGCUUUCAGAGUACCUCCAGAAGAGCGUCAUGGAGAUGUCCCUGGAGGAUUCCUGCUCCAUCCCCAGACACGUUAACAGACUUUUCCAGUAGCUGUACUGGCCACGAAUGCAUCCCAA